UUCAAGGCGGCCCCAGGCCGCUUGAUGAAAGGAGAUAAGCUGGGGACUGUUUCCAGGAUCCCCGCGGGCCGACCCCGGCAGCCCGGGAGCGGAGGUGCGGCGGAGAGCCCKUGGAUCAAAGGAAUCCGCAGAGAAAGGGGAAAGCGGGCAGACGGACGAGCCGGCCUUGCCCCCCGCGGGCCGCGCUGGCCCGGGGUGGGGGCCGCGGGCGGGGACUCCGGGAUUUCCCGCCCGCCGGGCACCAGGCCUCUGCAGGCUCCCACUUCGGGCACUUGGCCUGGAGGAACUCCAGACGAACAUACUGGGAUCUGCAGAUCCGCCUUUUACAGGAAGAGGGCCAGGAGGGGCAAAGAGAGAAGAUAUUAAGCCUCAAAGGUGCAGGGGGACUGGCCCAAAGACCAGACCUGAGACUGGGGCCAGGAUGCUGCAGGCUGGCACAUGGAGGGGCAGGAGUCUGACCUAAACACCCUUCAAUCUUGGCAUUGAGGAAAGUCCCCUGAGGACAGGAGCCAGACCCAGGAGGGAAAGCCCCAUGACCCAACAUACAGGAACAGGCUGAUUUUUCAGUGCAGAAAGUCUCCUGGAGCAGGUGGUAUAAAAUCAAAGCCCCUACAUCCAAGCCAGACACAAAAGCGCCCUGGAAGUACCCGGACCCGCGUCCGGAGAAGCGCACGCACCCGCCGAUGCCGCGGGCUCUGCAUCCCCACCUGCUCCGUUCCGCCUGUCCCUGAGAACCAGGAGGCGGCCGGAGGCGCCAUAAUGGCAAAUUUAUGGCCUGGGUGACGUGCUUUCCUCUCCCACAAUGGGGCCCCGUGACAUUAAACAGAAAAUUGA